AUGCGUACGAGCUUUUCACAUAUUGCUCUUUGCUUAUUUACUUUACCAUUGCUACUGUUACAAUUACUACAAAACUGCUACUGUUACUUUUGCUAUCGUUACCGUUACUUCCAUACUACUUUGCUACUAAAUACUUUGCUGCAGAUACUAAGUUAUCCAGGUGUGGUUGAAUUGGCAACUCAACUGCUAAUACUUGAGAAUAUUCUUUGGCUCCCCUUGCGUCGAAUCAAUAAAUUUGGGUUGAAUACUCUACCCUCGAAAACUAUUGCGAUCCCCUAUACUUGUGGGUUAUCAAGAAUAUUUUCUGGCGCCGUUGCCGGGGAGCAGAGCUCUAUUCUUUGA
rnacentral:rRNA from 1 species